CCAACUUAUGGUAAUGGUAUCUACCUCGAACCGCUUGAAAAGCUGAUGAUGCCUACAUGUAA
rnacentral:ncRNA from 1 species